UCAAAGGUUGAUAAUUGAACUUAGGUAAAAGAUUCAAAUCCUUUAAUUUUGAUAUAACAUACACGUGAACAUCUAAACGAUCUUGGCUAUUGAAUUAAAGAAAUUUUUAAUUUCUGGAUAAUUCCGAUUCCGCAUUCCAACACCAUCUUGCUAUAAUGGUGUUACCUCCUUUUUUGCUGUUGUUAUGAUAAUCAAAUUUAAACAUUGAUAUCAAUGGUUCUCCUUCAUCUGACAGCUAGAAGUCUAUUGUUUUGAGGUCAUAGCCAACUUCGGGCCAUUCUUCGUGCAAAUAGCAUAUUCCUGCUGGUUGUAAAAUAGUGUUCCUAACAAGUAAAGAUAAUUAAACACCAAGUUAGAUAUCAAUACUAUAAGCCAGAAAUUGAAUUAACUAUAUUGAAAUCGCAAGAAAAAUAAUUUCCUAACAAAUCCAUGUUCCAAGAUGCGUAGUGGAUGAUCGAGGCUCAGAUUAACCAAUUGAAAGCAACAAGGUAGCACCACACUCAAUUGGAUCCAAGAAUCUCACAAGAACUGUCAAAAGGAUCGACCAAAUCAAGCUACAAAUGAACGGACAUAAAACUGGUGCGAGGGAGAAGGUCGAAAACGGAGCAGAGUGGAGCCACAACAGAGAGCCACCGGUAUAGCACAACAGCCGAUGACCCCGAAAAGGAGGUCAAGAAAGGGCAGCCAAAGCCGGAGCACGGAGCAAAUGCUAAAAGACAAGGUAGCUAAAAGUCAGAGACAAAAGCAAAGAAGGCAGCGCAAGUAUUAUGUGCGACCGCAAUGAGGGGAGUCCACUCAUAUAAAUGGGUUCCUAGCUCAAAACUGAAUGGACCAAACAUAAUAGGUGAGUCAACCUUGCAACAAGUGAGUUCUUGGUCCGUCUUGGUUCUGGGUUAAUUGCUAUAAAUGCUUCAAUAAUUGGCACAAGGCUUAUGAACUUGGUCCGACUAGGUUUAUCAUCAUAGCCUUGGGUUUAUUUGAUAUCAAUUAUCCAACAAAUCUUCACCACGAUUUAUAAUAUUUUGAACCAAUUUAUUGAAAAUGUCAAGAUUGUCGUUUAACUCCUUUGAGGGAUUAAUUUGAAACUGGAAAAACUUUCAAGUAAAAAAAAGUUUGCUGGGUUUGGAUUGAGUUAAAUAAAGCUCCUCAAGUAUUUUCCAAACUGUUUCAGCAGUUUCAUGUUUGCUAACUUUUCAGAAAAUAUUAUCAAAUAAGUGUAGCAUAAUAGAGGAAUAAGCAACUUCGUCAAUUCCUUUUUAUGAUCUUCAAUCAUAGUUGUAGCAUAAGCUACAUCAAUUACUUUUGAAAUUUUUUGUUAUACUAAAAUUUUUUAUAUCUUUUGUUACCAAAUAGAAAAAUCACUUUUAUCGUUAAGGAUAUCCAAGUCAAAAUAGUGCACAGACCUCUGAAUAGAUAAUACACGUAGCAUGAAAACAACGAACAAAGAGACAGCCACACAGAGAAUGUUCUAAGGGUCACAAUUAUACACUGAUCUCAAUUCCCAUGAUUUUCAUGAGAUUCGAACCUGGGUCUCAAAGGAAUUGUUGAGCAAGGUCAAAGGUUAAAAUUCUAAUACCAAUAACUUAGCACCAAUAUGAAAAAUCAAACAAUGAUCAAAUAGACACAAUAAACAAUAAUAUCACGAUUUAGGCGAAUAAUCCUAAAUACUAGCAGCAACAAGAUACAAUCAUCUUGGUCACCCUACAUGAUGACCUGCCACUACAGUAAUGUAAAACUUUUUAGCCAAUUUAUCAAAGCGGACCUACUUGUAGUCCAUAACUGGGAGAGAUGCAAAUUUUUAUUUUAAAGAUUCAAGUUUCUAGCAAAAUCAUCCGUAGAAAAUCAACACAACACCGCGCUUCACGAUCAUAGCAAUUUCAAAAUUCAAUUUCAAGCAAUAAAGGAAGUCGAGAAUUGACCAACGGCCAAGUCACGACGAUCCAAAUGCUUUGAUACCGAUUUAUCAUAAAAUAGUGUUCCUAACGAGUAAAGAUAAUUAAGCACAAAGUUAGAUAUAAAUACUACAAAUACUAUAAGCUAGAAAUUUAAUUAACUAUAUUGAAAUUGAAAGAACAGCACUUCCCUUUUAAAUACACGUCCAAGAUGCAUAGUGGAUUAUUGAGGCUUAGAUUAACUAACACAAAGCAACACAACCAAUCAAGCCACAAAGGAACAUACCGAAAGGGACAAGGCCGAAAAUAGAUUAGAGAGGAGCCACAAUAGAGAGCCAUCGUUAUAGCACAACAGUUGACAAUCAACACGAAAAAGGAAGUCCAGAAAGGGCAUUCAAAGCCGAAGCAUAAGGCAAAGACGAAAGGGAGAUGCAGUCGCAAGUCAAAGAUAAAAGCAGAGAAGGCAACCAUAAGUAUUGUGUAA
rnacentral:lncRNA from 1 species